rnacentral:lncRNA from 1 species
CCUAGAUUUAUGUACAUUGGAUACAGGGCAGUCUUCGCUCCUGCAUACAUGAGAUAUUAUCCACUUCAGCUUCUGACCGUCAUGGCAUGGGUCUUAUGGUUUUGCCUUUCAAAAAGCUUCUUAUGAGGGAGAGAAGAUCCAAUUUUAUAUAAAUCAGAGUUUUCUUGACUCACAGCCAAUAUAAGACUAAUGAUACGCUUCCUCUUACAAUACACUAUAGUCCUCAGAAAAAUUUUGGACAAGAUUGCGAAAGAUGCACUAC